rnacentral:lncRNA from 1 species
AUGUUCCUUUUAAUUUGUGAAGUCAAUACUGUCUUUUCUCCCUGCUGGGAGAGGCUGUGCUGUGGUGGGGCCAACUCGGGGUCCUCUCCUUGUGGGGGGUCCCAGCCUCUUCCAUCCCAUUCAGUGGCCUUGGGCAAACUGAUAAUGAGCCCACCCACCGUCCCGUCUAGAAGAUCAAGUCAAAUCCAGUGUUGCUCCAAGUCGUCUGCACCGAACAGUCUCUGGCGACCCCUGUCGCCAUCUAGCCCCUCAGAAAUCAUCUGGAACAUUCACACCACUCUGCAUUACUCACCAAAAACCAACCCUCAGACACAGAGGAGGGACCCAAGGAUGUUCCCUCUGCACCUCAGGAUCCUUCUGGAAACCAUCAGGACCCUGGACAAGGAGAUAAUGAAGAUUUUCUGCAGCAACAUAAAUGAAACCUGGAACAAAUCUAUUUUUACCACUUCGAGUGUGGGCUCCCCUGACCCGUGA